CUGAAUGUGGGUUGGUAUCAUUCAGUCCACUGAGAACCUGAAUAAAAACCAAAGGCAGAGAAAGGGUGAGUUUGUUUUCUCUGCUUGAGCUGAGACAUCCAUCCUCUCCUGCCCUUGAGACAUCAGAGUUCCAGGUUCUUGAGCCUUCAGACUCAAACUGGGAUGCACAUCAUUGUUCUCCUGGUUCUCAGGACUUUGGACUUGCACUGGAAUUACACCCCAGCUUUCCUGAUUCUACAGUUUGAAGAUGGUAGAUUGUGGGACUUCUCAGACUCCAUAAUGAGUGCACCAAGAACCUGGACAACUCACAGUCAAGCAUUUCCAUCCCGUAACAGUUGGAGAAUAAGCCUGAGUGACGGGCCUUCCAUUUAGCAGGUGAAUCUCAGCUGCUACGUAAAUCGUCAAAGCCAGAACUUGGAAUGUGAAUAUAGCCAUGAGAGUGCCUCAGCAAGGAGCCAUUA
rnacentral:lncRNA from 1 species